rnacentral:rRNA from 1 species
UCCUGGCUCAGGAUGAACGCUGGCGGUAUGCCUAACACAUGCAAGUCGUACGAGAGUUUUUAACUCUAGUGGCGGACGGGUGAGUAACACGUGAGAAUUUGCCUUUAGGAGGGGGACAACAAUUGGAAACGAAUGCUAAUACCCCAUAUGCUUUCGAGUGAAAUGGAUUUUAUCCGCCUAGAGAGAAGCUCGCGGCUGAUUAGCUUGUUGGUAAGGUAAGAGCUUACCAAGCCGACGAUCUGUAGCUGGUCUGAGAGGACGACCAGCCACACUGGGACUGAGACAGGCCCCAGACUCCUACGGGAGGCAGCAGUGGGGAAUUUUGGACAAUGGGGGCAACCCUGAUCCAGCAAUGCCGCGUGAGUGAAGAAGGCCUUCGGGUUGUAAAGCUCUUUUGUCAGGGAAGAAACGGUGGGGGCUAAUAUCCUCUGCUAAUGACGGUACCUGAAGAAUAAGCACCGGCUAACUACGUG